rnacentral:rRNA from 1 species
UACGGAGGGGGCUAGCGUUGUUCGGAAUUACUGGGCGUAAAGCGCACGUAGGCGGCUUUGUAAGUUAGAGGUGAAAGCCCAGGGCUUAACCCUGGAAUUGCCUUUAAGACUGCAUCGCUAGAAUCGUGGAGAGGUGAGUGGAAUUCCGAGUGUAGAGGUGAAAUUCGUAGAUAUUCGGAAGAACACCCGUGGCGAAGGCGGCCAACUGGGCCGGCCCUGACGCUGAGGCGCGAAGGCGUGGGGAGCGAACGGG